GACGAACGCUGGCGGCGCGCUUAACACAUGCAAGUCGAGCGAGAACCAGGGCUUCGGCUCUGGGGACAGCGGCGAACGGGUGAGUAACACGUGGGUAAUCUGCCCUCGGCACCGGAAUAGCCCGGGGAAACCCGGAUUAAUGCCGGAUGGCCCCUUCACCUCGCGAGGUGUCGGGAAAAGGUAGCUUUGGCCUCCGGCCGAGGAUGAGCCCGCGGCGGAUUAGCUUGUUGGCGGGGUAACGGCCCACCAAGGCAACGAUCCGCAGCUGGUCUGAGGGGAAGAUCAGCCACACUGGGACUGAGACACGGCCCAGACUCCUACGGGAGGCAGCAGUGGGGAAUCUUGCGCAAGGGGCGAAAGCCUGACGCAGCGACGCCGCGUGAGGGAAGAAGGCCUUCGGGUUGUAAACCUCUUUCAGGAGGGACGAAGCCACUCGGGUGAAUAGCCCAGAGGGUGACGGUACCUCCAGAAGAAGCCCCGGCUAACUACGUGCCAGCAGCCGCCGUAAAAC
rnacentral:rRNA from 1 species